GCGAAUCGCCCUUCGGGGUGCCCAGGCGCGAAAACUUUACAAUGCCGGCAACGGCGAUAAGGGAACCUCGAGUGCCAGGUUACAAAUCUGGCUGUCGUGAUGCCUAAAAAGCAUUGCAUAGCAAGGGCCGGGCAAGACCGGUGCCAGCCGCCGCGGUAACACCGGCGGCUCGAGUGGUAACCGUUAUUAUUGGGUCUAAAGGGUCUGUAGCCGGCCGGGUAAGUCUCUUGGGAAAUCUGGCAGCUUAACUGUCAGGCUUUCAGGAGAUACUGCCUGGCUCGAGGCCGGGAGAGGUGAGAGGUACUUCAGGGGUAGGGGUGAAAUCUUGUAAUCCUUGAAGGACCACCAGUGGCGAAGGCGUCUCACCAGAACGGACCUGACGGCAAGGGACGAAAGCUAGGGGCACGAACCGGAUUAGAUACCCGGGUAGUCCUAGCCGUAAACGAUACUCGCUAGGUGUCGGCCACGGUGCGACCGUGGUCGGUGCCGUAGGGAAGCCGUGAAGCGAGCCACCUGGGAAGUACGGCCGCAAGGCUGAAACUUAAAGGAAUUGGCGGGGGAGCAC
rnacentral:rRNA from 1 species